GACAGAGGGGGGCAAGCGUUGCUCGGAAUCACUGGGCGUAAAGGGCGCGUAGGCGGGACGCCAAGUCGGUCGUGAAAUCUCCGGGCUCAACCCGGAGGAGUCGGCCGAAACUGGUGUUCUUGAGGGAGGCAGAGGAGUCUGGAAUUCCCGGUGUAGCGGUGAAAUGUGUAGAGAUCGGGAGGAACACCGGUGGCGAAGGCGGGACUCUGGGCCUACCCUGACGCUGAGGCGCGAAGGCGUGGGGAGCAAACGGGG
rnacentral:rRNA from 1 species